rnacentral:rRNA from 1 species
CCUACGGGGGGCAGCAGUAAGGAAUAUUGGUCAAUGGACGAAAGUCUGAACCAGCCAUGCCGCGUGGAGGAUGAAGGUCCUCUGGAUUGUAAACUUCUUUUAUAUGGGACGAAAAAAGGCCUUUCCAGGUCGUCUGACGGUACCAUAUGAAUAAGCACCGGCUAACUCCGUGCCAGCAGCCGCGGUAAUACGGAGGGUGCAAGCUUUAUCGGGAUUCACGGGUUUUAAGGGGUGCGUGUAAGUCUGGGGUGAAAUCCCCGAGCUUAACUUGGGAACUGCCAUGGAUACUAUCAGUCUUGAAUACCGUGGAGGUCAGCGGAAUAUGUCAUGUAGCGGUGAAAUGCUUAGAUAUGACAUAGAACACCAAUUGCGAAGGCAGCUGGCUACACGAGUAUUGACACUGAGGCACGAAAGCGUGGGGAUCAAACAGGAUUAGAUACCCUUGUAGUC